AAUCCAUAGGUUAAUGAGGCGAACCGGGGGAACUGAAACAUCUAAGUACCCCGAGGAAAAGAAAUCAACCGAGAUUCCCCCAGUAGCGGCGAGCGAACGGGGAGGAGCCCAGAGCCUGAAUCAGCAUGUGUGUUAGUGGAAGCGUCUGGAAAGGCGCGCGAUACAGGGUGACAGCCCCGUACACAAAAGCGCAUGUGCUGUGAGCUCGAUGAGUAGGGCGGGACACGUGGUAUCCUGUCUGAAUAUGGGGGGACCAUCCUCCAAGGCUAAAUACUCCUGACUGACCGAUAGUGAACCAGUACCGUGAGGGAAAGGCGAAAAGAACCCCGGCGAGGGGAGUGAAAAAGAACCUGAAACCGUGUACGUACAAGCAGUGGGAGCCCCACCACUAAGCCAGUGGUGAACU
rnacentral:rRNA from 2 species